GCAUUUAAACAUUUGGCUGCACCAUGUCCGGGACUCUGUCAGGAUCCUGUGCUACGUCACAGACAUAGCUGGUAUAAAAAGCUCCGUCUGGUGCAGCGUCCACAUUAAGAGAAGCAGCAUCUGCGGGCAGCCUCCUCCACCUGGCCAAAUUACUGCAAACAACCAAAAAAGACUAAAGAAAAUGUCCAAAAUGAUGAUCGUUCAACUUGGAGUGAUUGUGUUCGCAAUAUGUUUAUCAACACAGGUGGCCUCCCAGAACAGCACAAACCCCACAACGUGGAGGAACUCCACCUCCAACACCACCACCAUGGCUACAGACACCCAUAGCAGUUUGGCAAACACUACCCACCCUGGCGGAGCAGGCGUCUCACUGCACGCAGGCAAAGUCUCCUUCCUAAUCCCCGUUGUCAUGGCAGCCUCUCUCCUGCAGCGCUACUGUUGAAGCCCUGGACCCCACAGCCCCCUCUUCUCUGCCUCAACACUCCUCCUCACCCCUCAUCAUCCCACCCAGUCCAACCUUACUCUUCUGCUCUUCACCACACUGCAUAGAGACCACAAGACUAACAUGGAUGGACUCCACAGCCUUCUUUGUCCUCCUUAAGUAAUGAUAAAAUGUGUUUAAUUCAAGACAUUCCUUUCAAUAAAGGGGGUUUAAUCUUCAGGUGGAGAUCAUCACCAAGACCCCCUCCGCCCCUUGCAUGGAAUCGAAAGGAAUGGCAGUUCACCCAUCUUCCCUUUUGGCAUGCGUUUCCAUAGUCACAUCAUCACAUUUUGGAGAUGCUCAGGGCUGUGGUUCUCAUGUCUCAUGUCUUAAUUGAAAUGUGGACCACUUGAGUGUACAGAGGUUUUUUUUGUGGCACCUGGCAAUCAAUAUCAGAAUGGUUUUUGUCUGUUAAGUAAAGUUUGACACACACACAGUAGGGGAUUUAAAAAAGCAAAAAAGCCAGAUGACAUUUAGCUGGGUUCUUUCCUAAUUUGGCUCUUCAGUCUUUUUAUUAGAAAUGUCAAAGAGAUGUAUGUAGCAAAUAAGUUGCCACAAUACUUGUGUCAGUUUUGCCUUGUAAUUUUUGAAGAGUUGUGGUCUUUUACAAUGAGGGUUUAAUUGACACCUUUCCCCCUUCAUACAUGGGUUGGACCCAAGACAUGACUGUAUGUGUAACCAUAUGGGAAGGCUUGAUGUUAAAUUUAUAUUUCCCCCUUAUAGUUUAUAUUUUGUAUAAAUGGAAAUGUUGUACUGUUUAUUGGGUAUAAUGGAAGAAAUUACAAUGUACAAUAAAUUAUGAAAAAUUA